AUGAACGCUGGCGGCGUGCCUAAUACAUGCAAGUCGAGCGAACAGACGAGGAGCUUGCUCCUCUGACGUUAGCGGCGGACGGGUGAGUAACACGUAGAUAACCUACCUAUAAGACUGGGAUAACUUCGGGAAACCGGAGCUAAUACCGGAUAAUAUAUUGAACCGCAUGGUUCAAUAGUGAAAGACGGUUUUGCUGUCACUUAUAGAUGGAUCCGCGCCGCAUUAGCUAGUUGGUAAGGUAACGGCUUACCAAGGCAACGAUGCGUAGCCGACCUGAGAGGGUGAUCGGCCACACUGGAACUGAGACACGGUCCAGACUCCUACGGGAGGCAGCAGUAGGGAAUCUUCCGCAAUGGGCGAAAGCCUGACGGAGCAACGCCGCGUGAGUGAUGAAGGUCUUCGGAUCGUAAAACUCUGUUAUUAGGGAAGAACAAAUGUGUAAGUAACUAUGCACGUCUUGACGGUACCUAAUCAGAAAGCCACGGCUAACUACGUG
rnacentral:rRNA from 1 species